CACACUUUCAUCUUCAUUCAAAGAAGCCCACAUGGCCCUGAUUUAAUUUGCUUAGUUACAUCCUCCAUUGUUUCUCCUGAUGUGUCAUCCUCGGCGGAUGGCGCUGUCACCGUCAAAGCUCGCCGCCCCGGUGGGUCGGGACCUAGCGAGCGCUGCGCCUCAUUGUCUGUCCUCACCUUUGUGUCUUUGUGUAGCGUCGAUCUGGUGGGUCGCUCAGAUGUGACCCGCUCUGGCUCGUCAGGGGAAACGCUGCUCAACAAACGCAGUUCCCACAGGAAGUGGAGAGGGGACAAAAAAGAUAGAGGGGAAGCGUGUCAAACAAGGAGAGAUUCAGGUGGUGAAGCGUUGCUCUGCAAACUGAAGUUAACAAGUGCAGCUCAAACUAGGCCAAAGACAGCCACUCUCCAGUGAAGUGAGUUUUGUCCUGAGCCUUCUUGUUUUGAGGAUCUGUACUGGGGCCUCGAUCUUCACACCCAUCAGCUCUGAUAUGCUGACAAUCCCCUCAUUAAUUUGAACGGUGCAGCCGGGUUUGAAAGGCGAGAACCCUUCAGCCAUUUCCCUAAUGGUCUGCGAGCCGGCUGACCGGGGCACAGCCGAGCGCUCGCCUUUGCGGCGGCAGCGGUUGUGAUGGCUGGGUUGCAGCUGGGAUGGUGUUAGAGGUCCUUUCAGUGUGAGCUGAGCAGCCAUGAUGGCUAACCACCACACCAGAGGCCUCCUUUGUUUCUCUUUUCCC
rnacentral:lncRNA from 1 species